rnacentral:rRNA from 1 species
UCGUGCUCGUGCUCGUGCUCAGGCCUAAUACAUGCAAGUCGAACGCAUUCUCGUUUUAGAUUGACGGUGCUUGCACAGAUUGAAAAGACAUUUGAAUGAGUGGCGGACGGGUGAGUAACACGUGGGUAACCUGCCCAAAAGUGGGGGAUAACAUUUGGAAACAAAUGCUAAUACCGCAUAAAAGUUAGAACCGCAUGGUUCUAAUUUGAAAGAUGGUUUCGGCUAUCACUUUUGGAUGGACCCGCGGCGUAUUAGUUAGUUGGUGAGGUAAUGGCUCACCAAGACAAUGAUACGUAGCCGAACUGAGAGGUUGAUCGGCCACAAUGGGACUGAGACACGGCCCAUACUCCUACGGGAGGCAGCAGUAGGGAAUCUUCCACAAUGGGCGCAAGCUGAUGGAGCAAUACCGCGUGAGUGAAGAAGGGUUUCGGCUCGUAAAACUCUGUUGUUGGAGAAGAACGUAUGUGAUAGUAACUGAUCAUGUAGUGACGGUAUCCAACCAGAAAGCCACGGCUAACUACGUGCCAGCAGCCGCGGCAAUACGUAGGUGGCAAGCGUUAUCCGGAUUUAUUGGGCGUAAAGCGAGCGCAGGCGGUUUUUUAAGUCUGAUGUGAAAGCCCUUGGCUCAACCAAGGAAGUGCAUCGGAAACUGGAGAACUUGAGUGCAGAAGAGGACAGUGGAACUCCAUGUGUAGCGGUGAAAUGCGUAGAUAUAUGGAAGAACACCAGUGGCGAAGGCGGCUGUCUGGUCUGUAACUGACGCUGAGGCUCGAAAGCAUGGGUAGCGAACAGGAUUAGAUACCCUGGUAGUCCAUGCCGUAAACGAUGAAUGCUAGGUGUUGGAGGGUUUCCGCCCUUCAGUGCCGCAGCUAACGCCUUUAAGCAUUCCGCCCUGGGGAGUACGACCGCAAGGU